rnacentral:misc_RNA from 1 species
GUGAAUCAUCGAAUUUUUGAACGCAAAUUGCACUCUCCUCGGAGAGUAUGCCUGUUUGAGGGUCAGCCUAUAAAAAAUCGACAUAGUCGCUGUUUGCCGGUGACAUACGUGGGAAAUUGGGGCACCUUAAAUCUUUUGGGUUUAGGCAACUUAUAAUUUUCUUUUUGAUUCUAUGAAUGUUUUUCUAAGAUU